rnacentral:rRNA from 1 species
CCUACGGGUGGCAGCAGUGGGGAAUAUUGCACAAUGGGGGAAACCCUGAUCCAGCGACGCCGCGUGAGCGAUGACGUAUUUCGGUAUGUUAAGCCCUAUCAGCAGGGGAGAAAAUGACGGUACCUGACUAAGAGGCCCCGGCUAACUACGUACCAGGAGCCGCGGUAAUACGGAGGGGGCAAGCGUUAUCCGGAUUUACUGGGUGUAAAGGGAGCGUAUAGGGUCCUGCAAGCCCGUAGUGAAAGCCCGGGGCCCCACCCCGGGACUGCAGUUGGAACUGUAAGGCGAGAGUGUCGGAGAGGCAUGCGGAAUGCCUGGUGUAGCGGUGAAAUGCGUAGAUAUUAGGAGGAACACCAGUGGCGAAGGCGGCCUGCUGGACGAUGACUGACGUUGAGGCUCGAAAGCGUGGGGAGCAAACAGGAUUAGAUACCCGGGUAGUC